AUUGAACGCUGGCGGCAGGCCUAACACAUGCAAGUCGAACGAGUGGCGGACGGGUGAGUAAUGUCUGGGAAACUGCCUGAUGGAGGGGGAUAACUACUGGAAACGGUAGCUAAUACCGCAUACCAUCAGAUGUGCCAAGAUUGGAUUAGCUAGUUGGUGGGGUAACGGCUCACCAAGGCGACGAUCCCUAGCUGGUCUGAGAGGAUGACCAGCCACACUGGAACUGAGACACGGUCCAGACUCCUACGGGAGGCAGCAGUAGGGAAUCUUCCGCAAUGGGCGCAAGCCUGAUGCAGCCAUGCCGCGUGUGUGAAGAAGGCCUUCGGAUUGUAAAGUACUUUCAGCAGGGAAGCGUUACCCACUGAGAAAGCACCGGCUAACUCCGUGCCAGCAGCCGCGGUAAUUC
rnacentral:rRNA from 1 species